rnacentral:piRNA from 1 species
UGAACCAAAGCAAUGUCAUUUGCUCAGCAGC